CGUAGUGUACAGAGAAUGAAAAUAUAAACAUUUCUUUUGCAGAAGUCAUUGGUUGGUCUGAAAUUUGACAAACGUGUCAAGAUGUAACAUUCGUUACCGAGAAAUUAAUUAAAGGGAAUGAUAGAACAAUUUCCCGCGUAUUUUUGCUCUCUGUCUGCAUGAUGUGGUAUACGAAAUGAACGUCUACUAUGAACAUUUGAGUUUGAAAGUCAAUACGUGUUAAACUUUGAGAAUUAGGAUUAAUUUUCUCUUACGAAAUGGCGCUUGUGAGAGCAGAAGUACAGAAUAACUACCAUGAAAAAAAAUGCAUUAAAACAUAAGAACAACCAUGAAAAAAAUGUUUUAGAAAUAAUAUUAUAUGCUCCCCUUGUGGCAAUACUGAAAAGGUAGAAUGUCUGUAUAGACAGUGAAAAUAAAGGUUUAACUACCGGUCAAAGGCUA